GUCGAGCGAACAGACGAGGAGCUUGCUCCUCUGACGUUAGCGGCGGACGGGUGAGUAACACGUGGAUAACCUACCUAUAAGACUGGGAUAACUUCGGGAAACCGGAGCUAAUACCGGAUAAUAUAUUGAACCGCAUGGUUCAAUAGUGAAAGACGGUUUUGCUGUCACUUAUAGAUGGAUCCGCGCCGCAUUAGCUAGUUGGUAAGGUAACGGCUUACCAAGGCAACGAUGCGUAGCCGACCUGAGAGGGUGAUCGGCCACACUGGAACUGAGACACGGUCCAGACUCCUACGGGAGGCAGCAGUAGGGAAUCUUCCGCAAUGGGCGAAAGCCUGACGGAGCAACGCCGCGUGAGUGAUGAAGGUCUUCGGAUCGUAAAACUCUGUUAUUAGGGAAGAACAAAUGUGUAAGUAACUAUGCACGUCUUGACGGUACCUAAUCAGAAAGCCACGGCUAACUACGUGCCAGCAGCCGCGGUAAUACGUAGGUGGCAAGCGUUAUCCGGAAUUAUUGGGCGUAAAGCG
rnacentral:rRNA from 1 species